GCAUAUGAUAGCUCAGUUGGUUGGAGCGUGGUGCUGAUGAUACCAAGGUUGCAGGUUCGAUCCCCAAACAAGGGGCAGCUGCA